GACGAACGCUGGCGGCGUGCUUAACACAUGCCAGUCGAACGGAAAGGCCCUGCUUGCAUGGUACUCGCGUGGCGAACGGGUGAGUAACACGUGGGCGUUCUGCCCUCCACAUCGUGAUAAGCCUGGAGAACUGGGGCUAUUACCGGAGAGAAGCCAUCUUUAGUGUGAUGGUUGGAUAGAUUUUUCGGUCUAGGGUGGGCUCGCGGCCUAUCAGCCUGCUGGUGGGGUAAUGGCCUACCAAGGCGGGGACGGGUAGCCGGCCUGGGUGGGUGGACGGCCAAAUUGGGACUUGGGUAAGGCCCAGGCUCCUACGGGGGGGAGGAGGGGGGAAAAAUGGCAAAAGGGGGGGAGCCCGGUGCAGGGACGCCGCGUGGGGGAUGACGGCCUUCGGGGUGGAAACUCCUUUCGGUAGGGAACAAGGUGUUUGUGACGGUAACUAGAAAAGAAGCACCGGCUAACUACGUG
rnacentral:rRNA from 1 species